GACGAGGCACUACGGUGCUGAAGCAACAAAUGCCCUGCUUCCAGGAAAAGCCUCUAAGCCUCAGGUAACAUCAAAUCGUACCCCAAACCGACACAGGUGGUCAGGUAGAGAAUACCAAGGCGCUUGAGAGAACUCGGGUGAAGGAACUAGGCAAAAUGGUGCCGUAACUUCGGGAGAAGGCACGCUGACACGUAGGUGAAGUGGUUUACCCAUGGAGCUGAAGUCAGUCGAAGAUACCAGCUGGCUGCAACUGUUUAUUAAAAACACAGCACUGUGCAAACACGAAAGUGGACGUAUACGGUGUGACGCCUGCCCGGUGCCGGAAGGUUAAUUGAUGGGGUCAGCGCAAGCGAAGCUCCUGAUCGAAGCCCCGGUAAACGGCGGCCGUAACUAUAACGGUCCUAAGGUAGCGAAAUUCCUUGUCGGGUAAGUUCCGACCUGCACGAAUGGCGUAAUGAUGGCCAGGCUGUCUCCACCCGGGACUCAGUGAAAUUGAACUCGCUGUGAAGAUGCAGUGUACCCGCGGCAAGACGGAAAGACCCCGUGAACCUUUACUAUAGCUUGACACUGAACACUGGUCCUUGAUGUGCAGGAUAGGUGGGAGGCUUUGAAGUGUGGACGCCAGUCUGCAUGGAGCCAUCCUUGAAAUACCACCCUUUAAUGGCUGGUGUUCUAACGUGGGCCCCUGACCGGGGUUGCGGACAGUGUCUGGUGGGUAGUUUGACUGGGGCGGUCUCCUCCUAAAGAGUAACGGAGGAGCACGAAGGUUGGCUAAUCCUGGUCGGACAUCAGGAGGUUAGUGCAAUGGCAUAAGCCAGCUUGACUGCGAGCGUGACGGCGCGAGCAGGUGCGAAAGCAGGUCAUAGUGAUCCGGUGGUUCUGAAUGGAAGGGCCAUCGCUCAACGGAUAAAAGGUACUCCGGGGAUAACAGGCUGAUACCGCCCAAGAGUUCAUAUCGACGGCGGUGUUUGGCACCUCGAUGUCGGCUCAUCACAUCCUGGGGCUGAAGUAGGUCCCAAGGGUAUGGCUGUUCGCCAUUUAAAGUGGUACGCGAGCUGGGUUUAGAACGUCGUGAGACAGUUCGGUCCCUAUCUGCCGUGGGCGCUGGAAGAUUGAGGGGGGCUGCUCCUAGUACGAGAGGACCGGAGUGGACGCAUCACUGGUGUUCGGGUUGUCAUGCCAAUGGCACUGCCCGGUAGCUACAUGCGGAAGAGAUAAGUGCUGAAAGCAUCUAAGCACGAAACUUGCCCCGAGAUGAAUCUUCCCUGAGCCUUUAAGGCUCCUGAAGGAACGUUGAAGACGACGACGUUGAUAGGCCGGGUGUGUAAGCGCAGCGAUGCGUUGAGCUAACCGGUACUAAUGAACCGUGAGGCUUAACCUUACAAC
rnacentral:rRNA from 1 species